rnacentral:rRNA from 1 species
UUUUAUGGAGAGUUUGAUCCUGGCUCAGAGUGAACGCUGGCGGCGUGCCUAAUACAUGCAAGUCGAACGAUGAAGCUUCUAGCUUGCUAGAGUGCUGAUUAGUGGCGCACGGGUGAGUAACGCAUAGGUCAUGUGCCUCUUAGUUUGGGAUAGCCAUUGGAAACGAUGAUUAAUACCAGAUACUCCCUACGGGGGAAAGAUUUAUCGCUAAGAGAUCAGCCUAUGUCCUAUCAGCUUGUUGGUAAGGUAAUGGCUUACCAAGGCUAUGACGGGUAUCCGGCCUGAGAGGGUGAACGGACACACUGGAACUGAGACACGGUCCAGACUCCUACGGGAGGCAGCAGUAGGGAAUAUUGCUCAAUGGGGGAAACCCUGAAGCAGCAACGCCGCGUGGAGGAUGAAGGUUUUAGGAUUGUAAACUCCUUUUGUUAGAGAAGAUAAUGACGGUAUCUAACGAAUAAGCACCGGCUAACUCCGUGCCAGCAGCCGCGGUAAUACGGAGGGUGCAAGCGUUACUCGGAAUCACUGGGCGUAAAGAGCGCGUAGGCGGGAUAGUCAGUCAGGUGUGAAAUCCUAUGGCUUAACCAUAGAACUGCAUUUGAAACUACUAUUCUAGAGUGUGGGAGAGGUAGGUGGAAUUCUUGGUGUAGGGGUAAAAUCCGUAGAGAUCAAGAGGAAUACUCAUUGCGAAGGCGACCUGCUGGAACAUUACUGACGCUGAUUGCGCGAAAGCGUGGGGAGCAAACAGGAUUAGAUACCCUGGUAGUCCACGCCCUAAACGAUGGAUGCUAGUUGUUGGAGGGCUUAGUCUCUCCAGUAAUGCAGCUAACGCAUUAAGCAUCCCGCCUGGGGAGUACGGUCGCAAGAUUAAAACUCAAAGGAAUAGACGGGGACCCGCACAAGCGGUGGAGCAUGUGGUUUAAUUCGAAGAUACACGAAGAACCUUACCUAGGCUUGACAUUGAGAGAAUCCGCUAGAAAUAGUGGAGUGUCUGGCUUGCUAGACCUUGAAAACAGGUGCUGCACGGCUGUCGUCAGCUCGUGUCGUGAGAUGUUGGGUUAAGUCCCGCAACGAGCGCAACCCCCUUUCUUAGUUGCUAACAGGUUAUGCUGAGAACUCUAAGGAUACUGCCUCCGUAAGGAGGAGGAAGGUGGGGACGACGUCAAGUCAUCAUGGCCCUUACGCCUAGGGCUACACACGUGCUACAAUGGGGUGUACAAAGAGAAGCAAUACUGCGAAGUGGAGCCAAUCUUCAAAACACCUCUCAGUUCGGAUUGUAGGCUGCAACUCGCCUGCAUGAAGCUGGAAUCGCUAGUAAUCGCAAAUCAGCCAUGUUGCGGUGAAUACGUUCCCGGGUCUUGUACUCACCGCCCGUCACACCAUGGGAGUUGUGUUUGCCUUAAGUCAGGAUGCUAAAUUGGCUACUGCCCACGGCACACACAGCGACUGGGGUGAAGUCGUAACAAGGUAACCGUAGGUGAACCUGCGGUUGGAUCACCUCCUUUCUAGA